UUUUUUCCGUCAGCCGCAUAAUCAGAAAACAAAGAAAGUCUAUCUCUUCGUCUGCUCCCUGCGAAACCUAAUCGAAUCAAUCGAUACUUUUUCAAUUUCAAAAACUUUGAUUUGUUUUCCAACCGAUAAUAUCUAAUCGAAUCAAGUGAAGCAAUCCGUUGAUGCUGGAUCAGGAGAGAAAUCAGUUGGAUUUAAGAUAAAGCUUAUACACAAAUUUAAUCGAAUCAAGCGAAGCAAUCCGUUGAUGCUGGAUCAGGAGAGAAAUCUGUUGGAUUUAAGAUAAGGACAUACUAAGUUUGUUUGGUGCUUUGAAUGAUAGCGUGGAAGUAUGCAACCUCCUCUUAUAAGAAACGAUGUGCUAAUUCGUGAAACAAAUCUAUGGAAAUGGACUCAGUUGACUGUAAAAAAGGUACGUACAUGAAGGUUUGCUACCGUGUUUUCAGUUAGUAUAACCCAAGUCAUAAUAAUCAGUUUGAAAACUGUUCUGUGAAAUAUAAAAAAAUUUCCAUAGAAUACGAAAAACAGUUUUUCAAAUUGCCAGAACAUCCUAAUUAUCAAAAUGUUUUUAAGAACCCCUUAUUUAUUGUAUAGAAGAAACCUAUACUAUUAUUAAAUAACAAAUAGAUGUAACGAAAACUGCUAACAUCCAAUUCUUUAAAAACUUCUCAUAAGCUUGAGGAAGAUCCAAAUCCUGUUUCAAAUGUGAAAAUGUAUUAUUAAAGUCUGAAAUUUAAAAGAAUCAAAAUAAGAGUGAAAUCACGCAUGAGCACCUUAACUUAUAAGUCGAAAAUGGCUGAAGCUGAUUUCUGUCUGAUUAACAAAUAUUCUGGAAAACUUCUUUGAACACUACAUUCAUAGUUUUCUUCUGUGGCUUUCCAUCUUCAUCAAGUAUCAAUACUUUCAAUCCUUUUCUUGAUGUAACCCUAGAUAUAGCAACAUAGAGCUGGCCAUGUGAAAAUACUGGUCUAGGUAAAAACAAUCCUACAUUCUCCAAAGACUGCCCCUGACUUUUGUUGAUUGUCAUCGCAAAUGCAACUGAAAUUGGCAACUGUCUUCUCCUCAUCUUGAAAGGCAAUCUUGUAUCCGAUGGUGUUAUCAACAACCUAGG